CACCACACAGAGUAACACAAGCGUGCUGGGCUUAUCCGACUUUGAAAUGCAAAGGAUCCACGUUGCUGCAGCAGUUUCCUUCUUGGGAGGUGUGAUUCAGAUUUAUGCAUAUGUUUUUGAAAACAUCAAGUCUGUGCGACUGGAAGCAUUGCUUUUAUCCUUGCUGAGCAUUGUGGUCCUUGUUCUUGUUAAAGAGCUGAAUGAACAGUUUAAAAGGAAAAUUAAAGUUGUUCUUCCUGUAGAUUUAGUUUUGAUUAUUGCUGCAUCAUUUGCUUGUUAUUGCACCAAUAUGGAAAACACAUAUGGAUUAGAAGUAGUUGGUCAUAUUCCAC
rnacentral:lncRNA from 1 species